rnacentral:rRNA from 1 species
AACGAACGCUGGCGGCGUGCCUAACACAUGCAAGUCGAACGGGAAAACCCGCAAGGGUGAGUACAGUGGCGCACGGGUGCGUAACACGUGGGUAAUCUGCCCAGAAGCCCGGAAUAACGCCCCGAAAGGGGUGCUAAUGCCGGAUGAGACCACGGGGACUUCGGUUCCCGGGGGAAAAGGUGGCCUCCGUAUACAAGCUAUCCCUUCUGGAUGAGGCCGCGGCCCAUCAGCUAGUUGGCGGGGUAAUGGCCCACCAAGGCUACGACGGGUAGCUGGUCUGAGAGGACGAUCAGCCAAACUGGAACUGAGACACGGUCCAGACUCCUACGGGAGGCAGCAGUGGGGAAUCUUGCGCAAUGGGCGAAAGCCUGACGCAGCAACGCCGCGUGUGUGAUGAAGGUCUUCGGAUCGUAAAGCACUGUCGGGAGGGACGAAUAAGGGCCGGGUGAACAAUCCGGUUCGACGAUGGUACCUCCAGAGGAAGCACCGGCUAACUCUGUGCCAGCCGCCGCUGUAACAC